UACGUAGGGGGCAAGCGUUGUCCGGAAUCAUUGGGCGUAAAGGGUGCGUAGGCGGCGCGGUAAGUCGGGUGUGAAAUCUCGGGGCUUAACUCCGAAACUGCAUUCGAUACUGCCGUGCUUGAGGACUGGAGAGGAGACUGGAAUUUACGGUGUAGCGGUGAAAUGCGUAGAUAUCAUAAGGAAGACCAGUGGCGAAGGCGGGUCUCUGGACAGUUCCUGACACUGAGGCACGAAGGCCAGGGGAGCAAACGGG
rnacentral:rRNA from 1 species